rnacentral:rRNA from 1 species
UACGUAGGGGGCGAGCGUUGUCCGGAUUUAUUGGGCGUAAAGAGCUCGUAGGCGGCUUGUCGCGUCGACUGUGAAAUCCCGCGGCUCAACUGCGGGUCUGCAGUCGAUACGGGCAGGCUAGAGUUCGGUAGGGGAGACUGGAAUUCCUGGUGUAGCGGUGAAAUGCGCAGAUAUCAGGAGGAACACCGGUGGUGUAGACGGCUCACUGGACCGUAACUGACGCUGAGACACGAAAGCGUGGGUAGCAAACAGG